CUCCACUUGCCGGACUGCUUUUGCUUGUUCCCACUUUGUGUCUGUAUCUGCCUCAUAAGCUCUAGGAAGGCAGUUGAGGAGGGUGCGGUGUGGCUGUGGGAGCUCGUUUUUUGAUUGGUCCAUGGUGCUGUUGCUUUCUCCAAAUUACGCCUACGUAAAGACACACAAAACCCCACUAGCCUUCAGACCGAUAGUAGAGAAAUGCAGAUCUCCUACCUAUAAUUUGGAGAAAGCAAUAGCACUAUGGAUUGGUCAAGGGGCGAGCUCCUGUGGCCGCGCCGUGCCCUCCUCAACUGCCUUCCUAGAGAGAAUAAAGGCAAUACGAAUC
rnacentral:lncRNA from 1 species